rnacentral:rRNA from 1 species
AUUGAACGCUGGCGGCAGGCCUAACACAUGCAAGUCGAGCGAGCGGCGGACGGGUGAGUAAUGUCUGGGAAACUGCCUGAUGGAGGGGGAUAACUACUGGAAACGGUAGCUAAUACCGCAUACCAUCAGAUGUGCCCAGCUGGGAUUAGCUAGUCGGUGGGGUACUGGCUCACCUAGACGAAGAUCCCUAGCUGGUCUGAGAGGAUGACCAGCCACACUGGAACUGAUACACGGUCCAGACUCCUACGGUAGGCAGCAGUGGGGAAUAUUGCACAAUGGGCGCAAGCCUGAUGCAGCCAUGCCGCGUGUGUGAAGAAGGCCUUCGGGUUGUAAAGCACUUUCAGCGGGGAGGCGUUACCCGCAGAAGAAGCACCGGCUAACUCCGUGCCAGCAGCCGCGGUAAUUC